rnacentral:rRNA from 1 species
AUUGAACGCUGGCGGCAUGCUUUACACAUGCAAGUCGGACGAGUGGCGCACGGGUGAGUAACGCAUCGGAACCUGCCGAGUAAUGGGGGAUCACUGUCCGAAAGGACAGCUAAUACCGCAUAUUAUGCGAGCGGCCGAUGGCGGAGUGGCUGGUUGGCGGGGUAAAGGCCCACCAAGGCGACGCUCAGUAGCGGGUCUGAGAGGAUGAUCCGCCACACUGGGACUGAGACAGGGCCCGGACUCCUACGGGUGGCAGCAGGGGGGAAUUUUGGACAAUGGGGGCAACCCUGACGCAGCCAUGCCGCGUGAAUGAAGAAGGCCUUCGGGUUGUAAAGUUCUUUCGGUGACGAGGCGUUAAUCACAGAAGAAGCACCGGCUAACUCCGUGCCAGCAGCCGCGGUAAUAC